GAUCGACCACGAGAGAUAAUCAUGUCACAAAUAUUUGAAAUUUCCUCAGUACUCAGUACUACAGCUGUUUGCAAUUCAUGUCACAUUCACACACAAGUUUCCAUUUAAAUAAAGCACAAACAAAAUAAAAAUCACAGACAUACAUGUGCACUUAUAGAUACUAGGAGUAUGCUAUAAAUGCAUUGUAUAAUAGGCAUAUACAAACA
rnacentral:misc_RNA from 1 species